rnacentral:rRNA from 1 species
CCUACGGGUGGCUGCAGUAAGGAAUAUUGGUCAAUGGACGCAAGUCUGAACCAGCCAUGCCGCGUGAAGGAUGAAGGUCCUCUGGAUUGUAAACUUCUUUUAUAGGGGGCGAAAAAAGGUUUUUCUAAAUCACUUGACAGUACCCUAUGAAUAAGCACCGGCUAACUCCGUGCCAGCAGCCGCGGUAAUACGGAGGGUGCAGGCGUUAUCCGGAUUAACGGGGUUUAAGGGGUUUAUAGGAGUCAGGGUCGAAAUCCUGGAGCUUAACUCCAGAACUGCCUUUGAUACUAUCUAUCUUGAAUAUGGUGGAGGUAAGCGGAAUAUGUCAUGUAGCGGUGAAAUGCAUAGAUAUGACAUAGAACACCUAUUGCGAAGGCAGCUUACUACGCCUAUAUUGACGCUGAGGCACGAAAGCGUGGGGAUCAAACAGGAUUAGAUACCCUAGUAGUC